GAUGAACGCUGGCGGCGUGCCUAAUACAUGCAAGUCGAACGAAUCUUCUUCGGAAGAUGAGUGGCGAACGGGUGAGUAAUGCAUAGGUAACCUGCCCCUGUGCGGGGGAUAACAGGAGGAAACUCCUGCUAAUACCGCAUAGCCAUGAGCCCCGCAUGGAGCGCAUGCCAAAUAUCCUUUCGGGGAUAGCGCAGGGAUGCACCUAUGGCGCAUUAGCUGGUUGGCGGGGCAACGGCCCACCAAGACAACGCUGCGUAGCCGGCCUGAGCGGGCGGACAGCCACAUUGGGACUGAGACCCGGCCCAGACUCCUACGGGAGGCAGCAGUAGGGAAUUUUCGGCAAUGGGGGAAACCCUGACCGAGCAACGCCGCGUGAGCGAAGAAGGCCUUCGGGUCGUAAAGCUCUGUUGUAAAGGAAGAACGGCGCAUACAGGAAAUGGUAUGCGAGUGACGGUACUUUACCAGAAAGCCACGGCUAACUACGUGCCAGCAGCCGCCGUAA
rnacentral:rRNA from 1 species